rnacentral:lncRNA from 1 species
GAACCGAGCGUUGUACUGAAGCUCUUCAAAAGCUUGCAAAGAAGUAUGACAUUGUCGUUAACAUUCAAGGAGAUGAACCACUUAUUGAACCUGAGAUAAUAGAUGGCAUUGUCAAAGCCCUGCAGGUAAAGUUCCUUCUUUCUUUUUUCCUGAUGCUGAUAUGAAUUGCGGUUGAACUUUUUUAAGUUAACUCUGACAAAAGGUACUUAAACUAUCUUAAAUGAGAGGUUUGUAAUUUUUAUAAACUUUUUUCCUGAUGCUGAUAUGAGUUGAGGUUGAACCUUUUUAAGUUAACUCUGAAAAAAGGUACUUAAACGAUCAUAAAUGAGAGGUUUGUAUUUUUAUAAACAUUUAUUCUAAUAUGGUUGUGGCUUAUCAUAGUCAUACCAUCUAAAACUUUAUGUAUUUAGACGUGUAUUUCUGGAUAUUACACUGUUAAUGUUAAUAAAUUGAUUAAUUGUUGUUCGAAAGAGGGAAGGGAUUAAACUAAUGUUAUGCUCAAAGUAAUAUAAAAUUUAGUUGCGGCCAGUUAUCAGAAAAGAGUGGAUAAGCUGACAUGGACAGUGGACCCACAAAUGAAUGGUUGAACACAAUGUUUUUUCACAAAGUGAAGAUAUAAACAUAUUGGACCCUGUAGUAACUAUUAUCUUCAUCAUAUAUCAACUUAGUAUGAUCGGGGAGAUUUAGAGAAAUUAAAGUUUGAAUAGGUCCUUAAUGAUGUGUUUUGGUGUUAUAUCUUGAAUUUUAGUGAGAUUCUUUGAGGAAGAGUUAUAAUUUCCAAGGAAGGCAAAUCACCCCCCCAAAAAAAGCAACGCAAGAUAUCAGUUUAAGGUCAAUAUAAACUACUUAGUCUAGUUUAAAUCAUUUGACUUGGUUCAGUUUGCCAUUUAUGAAAAGAUGUUAAUUUUUUUGGGGGAAUGCGCAAAGCUGAUUGCAGAUCCGACUUCAGAGA